AAUCCAUAGGUUAAUGAGGCGAACCGGGGGAACUGAAACAUCUAAGUACCCCGAGGAAAAGAAAUCAACCGAGAUUCCCCCAGUAGCGGCGAGCGAACGGGGAGGAGCCCAGAGCCUGAAUCAGCAUGUGUGUUAGUGGAAGCGUCUGGAAAGGCGCGCGAUACAGGGUGACAGCCCCGUACACAAAAGCGCAUGUGCUGUGAGCUCGAUGAGUAGGGCGGGACACGUGGUAUCCUGUCUGAAUAUGGGGGGACCAUCCUCCAAGGCUAAAUACUCCUGACUGACCGAUAGUGAACCAGUACCGUGAGGGAAAGGCGAAAAGAACCCCGGCGAGGGGAGUGAAAAAGAACCUGAAACCGUGUACGUACAAGCAGUGGGAGCACCCUUUGGGGUGUGACUGCGUACCUUUUGUAUAAUGGGUCAGCGACUUAUAUUCUGUAGCAAGGUUAACCGAAUAGGGGAGCCGGAGGGAAACCGAGUCUUAACCGGGCGUUAAGUUGCAGGGUAUAGACCCGAAACCCGGUGAUCUAGCCAUGGGCAGGUUGAAGGUUGGGUAACACUAACUGGAGGACCGAACCGACUAAUGUUGAAAAAUUAGCGGAUGACCUGUGGCUGGGGGUGAAAGGCCAAUCAAACCGGGAGAUAGCUGGUUCUCCCCGAAAGCUAUUUAGGUAGCGCCUCGUGAAUUCAUCUCCGGGGGUAGAGCACUGUUUCGGCUAGGGGGCCAUCCCGGCUUACCAACCCGAUGCAAACUGCGAAUACCGGAGAAUGUUAUCACGGGAGACACACGGCGGGUGCUAACGUCCGUCGUGAAGAGGGAAACAACCCAGACCGCCAGCUAAGGUCCCAAAGUCAUGGUUAAGUGGGAAACGAUGUGGGAAGGCCCAGACAGCCAGGAUGUUGGCUUAGAAGCAGCCAUCAUUUAAAGAAAGCGUAAUAGCUCACUGGUCGAGUCGGCCUGCGCGGAAGAUGUAACGGGGCUAAACCAUGCACCGAAGCUGCGGCAGCGACGCUGAUGCGUUGUUGGGUAGGGGAGCGUUCUGUAAGCCUGCGAAGGUGUGUCGUGAGGCAUGCUGGAGGUAUCAGAAGUGCGAAUGCUGACAUAAGUAACGAUAAAGCGGGUGAAAAGCCCGCUCGCCGGAAGACCAAGGGUUCCUGUCCAACGUUAAUCGGGGCAGGGUGAGUCGACCCCUAAGGCGAGGCCGAAAGGCGUAGUCGAUGGGAAACGGGUUAAUAUUCCCGUACUUGGUGUUACUGCGAAGGGGGGACGGAGAAGGCUAUGUUGGCCGGGCGACGGUUGUCCCGGUUUAAGCGUGUAGGUGUGUGUUCCAGGUAAAUCCGGUUCACUUUAACACUGAGGCGUGAUGACGAGGCACUACGGUGCUGAAGCAACAAAUGCCCUGCUUCCAGGAAAAGCCUCUAAGCAUCAGGUAACAUCAAAUCGUACCCCAAACCGACACAGGUGGUCAGGUAGAGAAUACCAAGGCGCUUGAGAGAACUCGGGUGAAGGAACUAGGCAAAAUGGUGCCGUAACUUCGGGAGAAGGCACGCUGACAC
rnacentral:rRNA from 1 species